UGAAUUCUUGAAUCUGCUUCAUCAAACAACCAGAAUAGGCAAUGUCUUAAAUGCUUAAAUCUCCACCUUCUUCAUUUAUCAGAAAUGAAUGACAAAAUAUUAAAAAGUUUAUAGUUAGCGAUCACUGAUAAAUAAAUAUGAAAAAUUAUUCACUUCAAUUAUGCACAGAAUGCAUAUUGAAGUUUUUCAAGCAUCAAUUUUGACUUGGGGGCAUUUUG
rnacentral:misc_RNA from 1 species